rnacentral:rRNA from 1 species
AACGAACGCUGGCGGCAUGCCUAACACAUGCAAGUCGAACGAGACCUUCGGGUCUAGUGGCGCACGGGUGCGUAACGCGUGGGAACCUGCCCUUAGGUUCGGAAUAACUCCCCGAAAGGGGUGCUAAUACCGGAUAAUGUCUUCGGACCAAAGAUUUAUCGCCUUUGGAUGGGCCCGCGUUGGAUUAGCUAGUUGGUAGGGUAAAAGCCUACCAAGGCGACGAUCCAUAGCUGGUCUGAGAGGAUGAUCAGCCACACUGGGACUGAGACACGGCCCAGACUCCUACGGGAGGCAGCAGUGGGGAAUAUUGGACGAGGGGCGAAAGCCUGAUCCAGCAAUGCCGCGUGAGUGAUGAAGGCCUUAGGGUUGUAAAGCUCUUUUACCCGGGAUGAUAAUGACAGUACCGGGAGAAUAAGCGCCGGCUAACUCCGUG